rnacentral:rRNA from 1 species
ACGCGAAGAACCUUACCCAGGCUUGAACAGCGAGUGACCAACUACGAAAGUGGUCUUCCGCAAGGACACUCGUAGAGGUGCUGCAUGGCUGUCGUCAGCUCGUGUCGUGAGAUGUUGGGUUAAGUCCCGCAACGAGCGCAACCCUUGUCUGCUGUUGCCAUCACGUUAUGGUGGGCACUCUGCAGAGACUGCCGGUGAUAAACCGGAGGAAGGUGGGGAUGACGUCAAGUCAGCAUGGCCUUUAUGUCUGGGGCUACACACGUGCUACAAUGGCCGACACAAACCGUCGCAAAACCGCAAGGUGGAGCUAAUCGGAGAAAGUCGGUCUCAGUUCGGAUCGUCGGCUGCAACUCGCCGGCGUGAAGUUGGAAUCGCUAGUAAUCGCGGAUCAGCACGCCGCGGUGAAUACGUUCCCGGGCCUUGUA